AUUGAACGCUGGCGGCAGGCCUAACACAUGCAAGUCGAGCGGAUGAAGAGAGCUUGCUCUCUGAUUCAGCGGCGGACGGGUGAGUAAUGCCUAGGAAUCUGCCUGGUAGUGGGGGACAACGUCUCGAAAGGGACGCUAAUACCGCAUACGUCCUACGGGAGAAAGCAGGGGACCUUCGGGCCUUGCGCUUUCAGAUGAGCCUAGGUCGGAUUAGCUAGUUGGUGAGGUAAUGGCUCACCAAGGCGACGAUCCGUAACUGGUCUGAGAGGAUGAUCAGUCACACUGGAACUGAGACACGGUCCAGACUCCUACGGGAGGCAGCAGUGGGGAAUAUUGGACAAUGGGCGAAAGCCUGAUCCAGCCAUGCCGCGUGUGUGAAGAAGGUCUUCGGAUUGUAAAGCACUUUAAGUUGGGAGGGAGGGCAGUAAAUUAAUACUUUGCUGUUUUGACGUUACCGACAGAAUAAGCACCGGCUAACUCUGUGCCAGCAGCCGCAGUAA
rnacentral:rRNA from 1 species